UCUGGAUCAUAAUGUCGUCAAGAUUCCUGUCUCGUUUGAACAGAGGCAAGAGCAAUCUGGUUCAGGUAACUCUCUUUUCACAAGACGUUUAUCACGAUUGAUCAUUAACCUAACAAGUGGCAACUUCAAAGAAACCUGUCGCCAAAUUUCUUUUACUGUUCCAUCUGGGUCCUCAUAUUCAUAGUAAUGCUUCACCUUUUUCAGCUCCCUUUGGUAUUCCAAAACCCUCUCCAUGCUUACUUUCCUGAGCUUUUUAACCAAGAACCCUGGCUUCACAGCUGUGUUAGAGUCUACAAAAAUUGCGAUUUUCCUGUAGUCCACAACAUCCUCAAAUGGCAAUUCAAUGUGAUCACUGAUGAUUACAGGGACACACAAGCUCACAAUAGCAUCAAAAAG
rnacentral:misc_RNA from 1 species